AUGGCUUCCGCCGUCGCUCGCAGGGGUGCCGCGCUGCCCAGCCUCCUCGAGAAGCUGCUCGCCAAGCCGUCCAAGUCGGGUGCGCCCGUGUCCUUCGCGCUCCGUCCCGCCGCCGUCACCGCCGCCCGCCGCCCGUACAACACCCUGGGCAAGGAGGGCCGCCUCUACGACGACGAGGACGACGACUCCUCCAGCGGCGAGAGCGGCAGCGAGUACGAGGACACCGACUCCGACGACCGCCGCCGCGCCCGCGACUUCUUCGUCCCCGGCUUCUCUCAGGACGUGCUCGACCAGUUCGGCGCGCACACCAGCUUCGGCCGCCUGCUUUCUGCGCUGGAGGAAGCUGCCGCUCCGACCGGUCUCUCCUCCACUGCCGGGGCGUCGCGGCUCGGACGCUGGGUGUCGAAGGUGGACGACGACGCUGUGUACCUCAAGGUGCCGAUGCCGGGGCUGGGGAAGGAGCACGUGAAGGUGUGGGCCGAGCCGAACGGCCUGGUGAUCAAGGGCGAGGGCGACAAGGAGCCCUGGGACGGCGACGACGACUCCGCGGUGCCGAGGUACAGCCGCCGCAUCAAGGUGCCCGCCGACGCGUUCAAGAUGGACAAGAUCAAGGCCGAGAUGAAGAACGGCGUGCUCAGGGUGACCGUGCCCAGGCUGAAGGAGGAGGAGCGCAAGGACGUGUUCCAGGUGAAGAUCGAGUAG
rnacentral:rRNA from 1 species